rnacentral:rRNA from 1 species
UACGUAGGGUGCAAGCGUUAAUCGGAAUUACUGGGCGUAAAGCGUGCGCAGGCGGUUCCGCAAGUCAGAUGUGAAAUCCCCGGGCUCAACCUGGGAACUGCAUUUGAAACUACGGGGCUAGAGUGUGUCAGAGGGGGGUGGAAUUCCACGUGUAGCAGUGAAAUUCGUAGAUAUCGGGAAGAACACCUGAGGCGAAGGCGGCUAUCUGGCGGUGCAUUGACGCUGAUGCGCGAAAGCGUGGGGAGCAAACAGG